AUUGAACGCUGGCGGCGGGCUUAACACAUGCAAGUCGAGCGGGGGAAAGUACUUCGGUAUCGGACCUAGCGGCGGACGGGUGAGUAAUGCUUAGGAAUCUGCCAUUUAGUGGGGGACAACAUUCCGAAAGGAAUGCUAAUACCGCAUACGUCCUACGGGAGAAAGCAGGGGAUCUUCGGACCUUGCGCUAAAUGAUGAGCCUAAGUCGGAUUAGCUAGUUGGUGGGGUAAAGGCCUACCAAGGCGACGAUCUGUAGCGGGUCUGAGAGGAUGAUCCGCCACACUGGGACUGAGACACGGCCCAGACUCCUACGGGAGGCAGCAGUGGGGAAUAUUGGACAAUGGGCGGAAGCCUGAUCCAGCCAUGCCGCGUGUGUGAAGAAGGCCUUAUGGUUGUAAAGCACUUUAAGCGAGGAGGAGGCUCUUCUGGUUAAUACCCAGGAUGAGUGGACGUUACUCGCAGAAUAAGCACCGGCUAACUCUGUGCCAGCAGCCGCCGUAAGAC
rnacentral:rRNA from 1 species